rnacentral:rRNA from 1 species
GUUUGAUCCUGGCUCAGGAUGAACGCUAGCGGCAGGCCUAAUACAUGCAAGUCGAGCGGUAACAUAGAAGCUUGCUUCUGAUGACGAGCGGCAAACGGGUGCGUAACACGUAUGUAACUUACCCCUAACAGAAAGAUAGCCCAUGGAAACGUGGAUUAAUAUUUCAUAAUACUAGAACCGCAUGGUUCGAAGUUAAAAGAUCCGUCGGUUAGGGAUGGACAUGCGGCCUAUUAGCUAGUUGGUAAGGUAAUGGCUUACCAAGGCAACGAUAGGUAGGGGGCGUGAGAGCGUGAUCCCCCACACGGGCACUGAGACACGGGCCCGACUCCUACGGGAGGCAGCAGUAAGGAAUAUUGGUCAAUGGAGGAAACUCUGAACCAGCCAUGCCGCGUGCAGGAAGACGGCCCUCUGGGUUGUAAACUGCUUUUAUAUGCAAAGAAAAACAUCUUUUCUAGGGUGUCUGACGGUAGCAUACGAAUAAGGACCGGCUAACUCCGUGCCAGCAGCCGCGGUAAUACGGAGGGUCCAAGCGUUAAUCGGAAUUACUGGGCGUAAAGCGCGCGUAGGCGGUUUAGCAAGUUGUAUGUGAAAGCCCUGGGCUCAACCUAGGAACUGCAUCCAAAACUACUAAGCUAGAGUACGAGAGAGGAGAGUAGAAUUUCUGGUGUAGCGGUGAAAUGCGUAGAUAUCAGAAGGAAUACCAAUGGCGAAGGCAGCUCUCUGGCUCGUAACUGACGCUGAGGUGCGAAAGCGUGGGUAGCAAACAGGAUUAGAUACCCUGGUAGUCCACGCCGUAAACG